UUAUGUGAUCGUCUCUCGCAUAUCAAUAAGCGGAGGAAAAGAAACUAACAAGGAUUCCCCUAGUAACGGCGAGUGAAGCGGGAAGAGCUCAAAUUUGAAAUCUUAAAGGGUUUCCCUUUACGAAUUGUAGUUUAAAGAAGCGUUUUCUGUUGAGGUUUUGGUAAAAGUUCUUUGGAAUAGGACAUCAUAGAGGGUGAGAAUCCCGUAUUUGACCUUUACUUUCAACUUUGUGAUACACUUUCAAAGAGUCGGAUUGUUUGGGAAUGCAGUCCAAAAUGGGUGGUAAAUUUCAUCUAAAGCUAAAUAUUGGCGAGAGACCGAUAGCGAACAAGUACCGUGAGGGAAAGAUGAAAAGAACUUUGAAAAGAGAGUUAAACAGUACGUGAAAUUGUCAAAAGGGAAGCGUUUGACACCAGUGUUGUUUUUCUGAAAAUCAAUUAAAGAACUGUUUAUGCUAAGUUGUUUAGACUUUAUCAGCUAUCUGCUUAGUUUUGAGCUUUUCUUUAAUGCACUUUUCAGUUAACAAGUCAACAUCAAUUUCUUUUGCUGUAAAAAAGCUAGAGGAAGGUGGCUUGAGAUUCGUCUUAAGUGUUUAUAGCCUCUUGCCUAUGCAGUCGGAGAGAUUGAGGUCUGCAGCGUAGAUCCUUCGGGGCUAAAUGCAUUUGUGCUAAGUUAUAGCAUUUUAUAGACAACUUGUUGACUAUGAUUUGUCUUGUAGCUUACUCGCUUAUGUUAUUUUACCUACGCUUAGGAUGUUGACGCGCGUGUGUGCGUG
rnacentral:rRNA from 1 species